GGCAGGCCUAACACAUGCAAGUCGAGCGGAUGAGGGAAGCUUGCUUCCUGAUUUAGCGGCGGACGGGUGAGUAAUGCCUAGGAAUCUGCCUGUUAGUGGGGGAUAACGUUCCGAAAGGAACGCUAAUACCGCAUACGUCCUACGGGAGAAAGUGGGGGAUCUUCGGACCUCACGCUAACAGAUGAGCCUAGGUCGGAUUAGCUAGUAGGUGAGGUAAUGGCUCACCUAGGCUACGAUCCGUAACUGGCCUGAGAGGAUGAUCAGUCACACUGGAACUGAGACACGGUCCAGACUCCUACGGGAGGCAGCAGUGAGGAAUAUUGGACAAUGGGCGAAAGCCUGAUCCAGCCAUGCCGCGUGUGUGAAGAAGGUCUUCGGAUUGUAAAGCACUUUAAGUUGGGAGGAAGGUCUGUAAGUUAAUACCUUGCAGUCUUGACGUUACCAACAGAAUAAGCACCGGCUAACUCUGUGCCAGCAGCCGCGGUAAUACAGAGGGUGCAAGCGUUAAUCGGAAUUACUGGGCGUAAAGCGCGCGUAGGUGGUUUGGUAAGUUGAAUGUGAAAGCCCCGGGCUCAAGCUGGGAACUGCAUCCAAAACUGCCUGACUAGAGUACGGUAGAGGGUGG
rnacentral:rRNA from 1 species